rnacentral:lncRNA from 1 species
ACCUGCAUUUCAUGCUGCAGGCACAGGUACCUCAACUCAUACACCGCACAAGUAGGAGCCAGGUCAUACAGCUAUUGUUGGUGAGCUCCAGUUUGCUUCGGAGCUUUCCGAGUCGGUUCCUUAUGUUUUGUUAUUGUACAUGAGUCACGUGUGGGCGGGGGUUUGUCCCGACCCUAGUUAUGUCAUGUAUAUCCUAGAGGCUUUGUAGACAUAAGGAAGGGUAAAGUCAUGGAAGUUUAUAUAGUAACGUUAUAUUUGUAUAUGUGGUGGCCCCGACGGCCAAGUAUUAUAUAUAUAUAUUUGUGCGUGUUGUGCUGAUACAGGUAAUUAGACCUUUCUAUAUGCAACGAAGUGCUGUCCAAUUUUUUUGGUGACAUGUAAGUGAAAGUACAGGUAUUUGAACGGGUUCUCCCGGGCCUUCUCGGCUUCGGGUGCCAGUCCGGCCCGAUGGGAUUUUGGGGCGUGACACAAGUGAUCAAAAAUCCACUAUGGUAUGAUGACACAUUUUUUAAAGACAAAACUCUCUUCUUAAAAGAUGAUAGUUUGUCAAUUGGAGGGGUUAGUGGUCCAAAAGAAGGGGGUGUAUGUUCUCCAAUGACCUAUUCAUUCUUGUGUGAACCCAUGCUUGAUCAAGGGCUUAAUGCUUGUAGAUCAAAGGGUGAUUCUAUAUGUGGGCACACCUUAAAUAAACUUUAUUUAAGUAACACCUUUCUAUACCACUUUUUUUGCAUAUGAUGAUACUCUUUCCUUUGAGUGGAGUAUGUUAUGUGAGAGUAGAGUGUCAAUGGGGCAAAUAGGUGUAUGAUUUUACCCAUGUUUAUGGAUUGCCUUUUCCUUUUGUCCUGGUAAUGAUUUGAAUAGUGGCGUUUGUGAUAAAAUACUUGGUUCAAAUGACAAGAAAGUUGUGGGUGAGGUUGUUGGCUUGCGUGGUGGUAAGUAUAGUAGUAACAUAUUUUUUCUCUCAUAUGAUUAUUGCUUGGUGUUAUUACUUGAUCUUAUAUGUUUAAUAAGAUAUAUUUGCCAAAUUAUGUAGAGAAUACCUUCGUAUUUAAUCUCCAAUGAUGAAUUAGGAGUAAUUCUAUUCUUUAAGAUAGUUAGUGCAUUGGAUAGAGUAUUGACUUGGAAUGACCUCAUUUAUGACAUGAAACAUAGUUAUAUGGGUUAUCAUGUGUUACAUGACUUAAAGGGAGAUUUUUUUUUCUAAAUUUAGAACCAUUGAGGACUUGUAUCAGUGGUUGCCUAAACACCAUGGUUCUUUUGAUUUGCCCCUUUGUCAAUGUUUCCUAUGUAGCCAAGUAUAUCAAUUUUUGUUGGGUGACAAACCAUUUAUGACUCAUUUUUUUGCUUGGUUAUAUGUUAAAUGUGUACACCCUUGGCAUGGCCAUAAAUUUGUUAUUGAUAAUCCUUGUGUUAAACCUCAUGCUACGAUGAUAUGUUUGUUGUUUUUCCUUCUCAUUUUUUAAAAAAGUUUGGAUUCGUGGAUGAAUUCUUUUGAUGAAGUGGAUCAUGAUUAGCUUGGAACAUAUUAGGAGGGUCUUCCAUGUAUGGAUGAUAUCUUGGAGUUUGAAGGAAGGCAUGAAGAAAUAGAUACAUAAGGUCAUUGGCAAUCAAGAUGCCAUUUGGCCAAUUAAGAAGGUCCCUUGUGAGUUAUUUGUAAAAUGGUCACAUUAGGGAGAUUUUUGUAAUAGACUUUUUCUGUAAAGGCACUGACUAUAAAUAGUUUCUUUAUCCAUUUUCAUCACUUAGAUUUGGAAAAGUGAAUUGUCUUGAAUAGAAUUGAUAUUUAGUUAUUCGAUAUUAGGGCAGUAAUUGGGUUCAAUUUCAAUUGUUAGCUUAGAUUGAGUGAUUAGGGUGUCUUUCUAAAUUGUUUGUGUUAUCUUCUUCACUUGAUUUAUCAUUAAGUUAUCAUAUUAUGGAUUCAAUCUGGUUUCUCGUCCAUUUGAUUAAGUUCUCUAUUUUUCUUAGCUUAAUUAUUAUUUGAUUAAGUCUUUCUUUCAGCACUUCUAUAAUACCCCAUAUUAUUAUUAGGUCAGUUCAUCUUCUAGUUGUAUGCAUAAGGGGCUUAAGGCCUAAAAAUUUCACUAAGUGUUGGGGAAUUAGUCAUUUAUAAGUCCUCUUAACUUCGAGGAUUUUUCGAUUGGUCUUCCCGAUCCUAAGGUGUUGGUUUUUGAGUUAAUUCAUAUUCAGGGAUGUAAGGAGCAUGUCUUAGAGAAGUUUCAAAUUUUUUGAAUGAGGUUUCGGUCAUGUUUGGAUCACAAAUCCAGAAAGUCACUGCGAUACGGCUGCGUCGCUUUAAUAUUUCCAUUUGCAUGCUCACUGCGUUGCGGUAAGGGAAAUGGAUGACUUCAAUUAGACCGCGUUGCGGUAAGUAUGUUAUGCCCAGUUAUGAAUUUAAUUGCCUGAGGGGAAAUUGUGUCUGUUCCCCUCAACCCAAAUCAUGCAUAACACGAAUUGAGACAUCAUUUAGAGCAUUAUUUGCCCUUCUUCUCUAAAUCCAUCUCAAGAAAACCCUUCCCACUUUCUCAAAAUCACCAAUUUCAAUUUUUUUCUCCCUAAAAAACCAAGGAACUCAAGCUUCAAAUUCAAGAAACCCUCAAGAAAUCUUCAAGAAAUCAUCUAUUAAGGUAUGUGGAUGUUCAUUCAUGGGUUUCUUUCUUUGGUAUUGAUGUAAUACCAGGCACCCAACCAAUCUCCAUUCCUCCGUAUAGAAUGGCCCCAGCAGAAUUACGAGAAUUGAAAGAGCAAUUGAAAGAUUUGCUAGAAAAGGGGUUCAUUAGGCCUAGUAUUUCCCCUUGGGGAGCACCAGUGUUAUUUGUACGCAAAAAGGAUGGCUCGCUGAGGAUGUGUAUUGAUUAUCGGCAAUUGAAUAAGGUGACUAUUAAGAAUAAAUAUCCUCUCCCAAGAAUUGAUGAUUUAUUUGAUCAGUUACAGGGCGCCAAGUGCUUUUCUAAGAUUGAUUUGAGGUCAGGUUACCACCAAGUGAGGGUCAAAGAAAAAGAUAUACCCAAAACAGCUUUCCGAACAAGGUAUGGUCAUUAUGAGUUUCUAGUUAUGUCAUUUGGGCUAACAAAUGCACCCGCAGCUUUUAUGGAUUUGAUGAAUAGGGUUUUUAAGCCAUUCCUGGAUGUAUUUGUGAUAGUUUUUAUAGAUGAUAUUCUAGUUUAUUCUAGAUCAGAAGAGGACCAUGCCAAUCACUUACGACAGGCAUUGCAGACUCUUCGUGAUUGUAAGCUUUAUGCAAAGUUCUCUAAAUGUGAGUUUUGGUUAAAGUCGGUGGCAUUUUUGGGUCAUAUUGUAUCUAGUGAAGGGAUAAAGGUUGAUGCUCAAAAGAUAGAGGCUGUGAAGAACUGGCCAAGGCCCACAACGCCUACGGAGAUUCGUAGUUUUCUUGGGUUGGCCGGUUAUUAUAGAAGGUUUGUCAAAGACUUUUCUUCCAUUUCAGCACCCUUAACCAAGCUAACCCAUAAAGCAUCCAAAUUCCAAUGGAAUGAUGCCUGUGAGAAGAGUUUUCAAGAUUUAAAGAACAAGUUGAUUUCUACACCCGUGUUGGUACUACCAGAAGGCACCGAAGGGUAUACAGUGUAUUGUGAUGCUUCCAGAAUUGGUUUAGGAUGUGUAUUGAUGCAGCAUGGUAAGGUAAUAGCAUAUGCUUCUAGACAAUUACGGCCACAUGAGAAAAAUUAUCCUACACACGAUCUUGAGCUGGCAGCGGUUAUUUUUGCUUUAAAGAUAUGGCGCCACUACUUAUAUGGGGUUCACGUUGAUAUAUAUACUGACCAUAAGAGCUUGCAAUAUAUUUUUAAUCAGAAGGAUCUAAAUUUAAGGCAGCGGAGAUGGCUUGAACUAUUAAAGGACUAUGAUGUUGAUAUCUUGUACCAUCCAGGGAAAGCAAAUGUGGUAGCUGAUGCGUUAAGUCGUAAGGCUAUGAUGGCGCCUAUAGAAAGGCAAGGGAUGGUUAAAGAUCUUCACCAGUUAGCUAGUUUGGGAGUUCGCCUUCUUGAAACUCCGAAUAAAGAGCUUAUCGUACAUAAUGCUGCGGAAUCUUCAUUAGUAGCUGAAGUGAAAGAGAAGCAAUAUGCAGAUCCUAUUUUAUUACAUCUUAAGGAGAACGUUCAGAGUGGUGCGACCAAGGCAUUUGAGCUUACGCGAGAAGGAGUACUUCAGUGCCAAAACCGAUUGUGUGUGCCGGAUAUAGACGGGCUAAGAAAGAAGAUUAUGACAGAGGCACAUUUUUCAAGGUAUUCCAUUCAUCCAGGAUCAACCAAAAUGUAUCAAGAUUUGAAAGAUAUGUAUUGGUGGAAUGACAUGAAGAAGAGCAUUGCAGAAUUUGUAGCUGAAUGUCCAAAUUGUCAAAGAGUUAAAGUUGAGCACCAAAAACCCGGAGGCUAUAUGCAAUGCAUAGAUCUUCCAAUUUGGAAGUGGGACAUGAUCAACAUGGAUUUUGUUACAGGUUUGCCUCGUACAGCUCGAAAAUUUGAUUCUAUAUGGGUGAUUGUGGAUAGGCUUACUAAAUCCGCACAUUUCUUACCCGUUAAGACCACUUACACAGUUGAAGAAUAUUCGAAGCUGUAUGUUAAAGAAAUAGUCCGAUUACAUGGAGUGCCAACUUCUAUUAUAUCGGAUCGGGGAACUCAAUUUACUGCAAACUUUUGGAAGUCUUUCCAACGGGGUUUGGGAACACAAGUGAAUCUGAGUACAGCUUUUCACCCUCAGACGGAUGGACAAGCAGAGCGCACCAUUCAAACACUUGAAGAUAUGCUACGAGCAUGUGUUAUAGAUUUUAAAGGCAGCUGGGAUGAUCAUUUACCUCUUAUUGAGUUUGCCUACAAUAAUAGCUAUCAUUCAAGUAUCAAAAUGGCACCAUAUGAAGCUUUAUAUGGGAGAAAGUGUAGAUCACCAAUAGGAUGGUUCGAAGCGGGUGAAACUCUUAUGUUCGGACCGGAUCUUGUGUAUCAAGCCAUAGAAAAAGUCAAGGUGAUACAACAACGGCUAAAAACAGCCCAAAGUCGUCAUAAAUCAUAUGCAGAUAUUCGGAGAAGAGGGCUGGAAUUCUCUAUUGGAGAUUGGGUAUUUUUAAAGGUAUCACCAAUGAAAGGGGUUAUGAGAUUUGGUAAAAAAGGGAAACUAAGCCCACGUUACAUAGGGCCAUAUAAGAUUACCAAGAGGGUCGGACAAGUUGCAUAUGAAUUAGAGCUACCCCAGGAACUUUCAAUGGUUCAUCCAGUGUUUCAUGUGUCAAUGCUUCGAAAAUGCAUAGGUGACCCCUCUCGUAUCACUCCUAUAGAAGAUGUACAGGUCACAGAGGAUCUUACUUAUGAAGAGGUACCGGUUGCUAUUCUAGAUCGCCAAGUUAAAAAGUUAAGGAACAAAGAAAUGGCAUCAGUAAAGGUACUUUGGAGAAAUCAACAAAGGGAAGAGAUUACAUGGGAAGCUGAGGAAGCAAUGAAAUCUAAGUACCCUCAUUUGUUCAAAGAUGAAGAGGAAGUUCAAGAAACGGAGUUAGAACAUUAACAAGUAAGUUUUUGUUUAUAUAUGCAUAGUAUUUAUGUGAUGAUGUGAAUGUUAAUGGUGGACUUGAACUUGUUUCGGCUAAAUAACUACAUUCACAUUCGAGGACGAAUGUCCUUAAGGGGGGAAGGAUGUAACACCCCGUACUUAAUUACGUGCAUUAGUCAUUGUUAUAUGUGUUGGGGUAUAUGUAUUGAUCCUAAGUUAGGUAUAUAUGAGUUUAAGUAUGAGUAUUGAUUAUUUUGAGAUGGUUUCAAGUGUAUAGUUUGAUUAUAGGUGUAUAGGAAUCGACUUUAUUUAUAUCGGAAUUUUCCCGUCGAUGGUUCCAUACGAAGGUUAUUGAAUAAGCUUUCCAACGAUAUAAAGAUUUCCAAAAACGGAUAAGUUUCGGAUAUAAGCGAGCUCGUUCGAAACUUUAAAACGGUGGCCGGGAUGUGAACAGUAAAAUGUGCAGGAAACUACUGAGGCCUGCCAGUUUUUUGGGUCAACUUUGAACGAUCAUAACUCCCUCAAUAUAAUGAACUGGUUGAGCUACCAUAUAUCAAAAGAAAGAUCUUUGAGUCUUCUUUCCAAUGAAAUUGGUUUCAUCCAAAUCCAACAUCUGAGUAAGGAGUUAUACUCGUUUUACUUCAGCCUCUCAAAACAGAUUUUUAGGGUCAACUUCAAACGAUCAUAACUACUUGUACAGGACGAACUGGGUGGAUUAAUUUAUAUUAAAUGAAAUACCUUUGAAUUAUCUUUCUAACGAUACCAAUUUCACCCAAAUCCGAUAUCGGAGCAAAGAGUUAUGGCCGAUUUACUUUAGCCUAUCAAAACAGUCCACCAUGGACAGAUUCGGAUUUACUUAAAUUUUUAAGGGCAAUAUGGUCAUUUUCCAUCACCUCAUGGACGAAAAUUGGUCAUUAUAUACAUAUACUUAGCCUUAUAUCCACCAUUUAUCAUCCAAAUCAUUGAAGAAUAAGAAACCCUAGCCUAAGUUCAACUCCAAUUAUCUUGUGAUUCAACCGUAGAAAAUCCAAAUUGAUUCCGUAGUUGUGUUCACCGUCUCAAGGGCUUCGAGAAGCACCCCUUAUUUGUGCCAACAGGACUUCGAAAUCAAAAGGGCCAUUUUUUUGGUAAGGAUGUAAAUUAUGUUGGUGUUAUUUAUAUGGAUAUGUAUAUAUAUAUAUGCAUGUGAGCAUAAGAAGUAUGUUAUUUGAUUGUUGUUGAAAGAUGAUUGGAAAUGAUGUUGGAUUAUUCUUGUGCAUGGUUGGAUUAUGUUAAAUUGUGAAGGAAUUUGGGGUGAUGAUGUAGUAUUGAUGAUGUGGUAUUGAAAUGAUGAUUAUAUAUAUAUACACACAUAAACCUAUUGUUCAAGUUGGUUUUUGGAAUGUUUUGCAAAUAUUGGUAGUAUGGAAUUAUGGAAGAGAAUUGUGGUGUUGGGUUGCUAAUACUAGAUGCCAAACAUUUCAUUGUAGAUAAGUGAUUUGUAAAGGCGGGAAGUUGUGUUGAAUUGGUAUCCGAAUCUACAACGAGGUAUGUAAAGCAUACUCUAACAAUGUUCUUUGGCAUGAAAACACCAAUGUUCCAUCAAGUAAGAUUCCGAGGUUGUCCAAAAACAUGUAUUGUUCUACGUUACCAACGAAGUUGUUUCCAUCCUAUAAAGUGUCAAAAUGUUUCAUUGAUAUACCAAAAGGCUCCUAUUUCAUUGUUGUGAUAUUGAUGAUUCUGAAACACAUUGUUGAUGUACCAAUGAGUCUUUAUUACAUCGUUAUUGUAUAGAAGGUCUAUUACUUGGUUCCUAUUGAUGUAUCAUUGUUUCAAAGUAUCAAAAAUGUGGUGGCGACCGAAAUAACAAUCUCAAAGAUUAAUUGAACUAAGUGAUGGAAGUUCUCUCUUAUCGGGUGGUAUCCCAGGGGCAUAAGCCUAGCAUGGGUCGAUCCCUAUUUAUGUGUUUAUGGGUGGUAUCCCAGGGGCAUAAGCCUAGCAUGGGUCGAUCCCAGUUGAUAUGUACUGGAGGCAGCCUAAUGGUCACAGUACAGUACAGUAAUGAUUACAAAGACGAUAAGAACGAAGGUAAAGUGAUUGAAUAAAUACAAUGUACAGGUUGUCACAAGUUCUAAUAAGUGUGGUCCACUCCUAUUACGAUUUAUUCACUUGUUUCUGAUUUCUAUUGAGCUCCUAUAUCAUAUGUGAUUAUUUACAGCUUUACAUACUCAGUACAUAUUUCGUACUGACGUCCCUCACGGGGGACCUGCAUUUCAUGCUGCAGGCACAGGUACCUCAACUCAUACACCGCACAAGUAGGAGCCAGGUCAUACAGCUAUUGUUGGUGAGCUCCAGUUUGCUUCGGAGCUUUCCGAGUCGGUUCCUUAUAUUUUGUUAUUGUACAUGAGUCAUGUGUGGGCGGGGGUUUGUCCCGACCCUAGUUAUGUCAUGUAUAUCCUAGAGGCUUUGUAGACAUAAGGAAGGAUAAAGUCAUGGAAGUUUAUAUAGUAACGUUAUAUUUGUAUAUGUGGUGGCCCCGACGGCCAAGUAUUAUAUAUAUAUAU